rnacentral:rRNA from 1 species
ACACUCCUACGGGAGGCAGCAGUGGGGAAUAUUGGACAAUGGGCGCAAGCCUGAUCCAGCCAUGCCGCGUGAGUGAUGAAGGCCCUAGGGUUGUAAAGCUCUUUCACCGGAGAAGAUAAUGACGGUAUCCGGAGAAGAAGCCCCGGCUAACUUCGUGCCAGCAGCCGCGGUAAUACGAAGGGGGCUAGCGUUGUUCGGAAUUACUGGGCGUAAAGCGCACGUAGGCGGAUCGAUCAGUCAGGGGUGAAAUCCCAGGGCUCAACCCUGGAACUGCCUUUGAUACUGUCGAUCUGGAGUAUGGAAGAGGUGAGUGGAAUUCCGAGUGUAGAGGUGAAAUUCGUAGAUAUUCGGAGGAACACCAGUGGCGAAGGCGGCUCACUGGUCCAUUACUGACGCUGAGGUGCGAAAGCGUGGGGAGCAAACAGGAUUAGAAACCCUAGUAGUCCCAU